rnacentral:rRNA from 1 species
GAAAAAUAAAUAGCCGCAGUACCCUGACUGCGCAAAGGUAGCAUAAUCAGUUGGCUUUUAAUUAGAGUCUGGUAUGAAUGAAAAUAUGGGUGGUAGCUGUCUUUAGCAUACUAGUUUGAAUUUAUUAAGCAAGUGCAAAUACUUGCAAAUUUCAAAAAGACGAGAAGACCCUAGAAACUUAAAAUAGUUUUUGUUGGGGCGACAGAAUUACAUUUAACUAAUUUUAAAAGACAUGACAUUUAAUUGAAAGAAUAAGUUACUCUAGGGAUAACAGCAUAAUUUAAACAGUUUGUGACCUCGAUGUUGGACUAGGUAUUAUGCCCUUUAGGCAAGGAUAUAACAUGCUCUGUUCGAGCAGUUUUACCUACGUGAUCUGAGUC